ACAUUGUUUCUGUUUUAUUUUGUUUAGGGCCCAGAUGGAGCACCAGGACCAAUAGGACCAGCAGGAAACCCAGGAGACAUAGGUAAAGAUGGCCCUCCAGGUCCACAGGGCCCACCAGGAUUGCCUGGACUUCCAGGCAUUGCUGGGAAUGAUGGCAAGGAUGGCAAGCCAGGAUCUCUUGGGGAACCGGUAAUGUAAUGCAAAACUGUUUUGCUCAGGCAAUCAGAGCCUGCAUCCAGUUAUUGUUUUUGG
rnacentral:lncRNA from 14 species